rnacentral:lncRNA from 1 species
UGCUACUUCCAUUCAUUUUUUUUUUACACUUUCCUAUCCUGCAUACGUGACAGCCUUCUUAUCAGGCUCCUAAGGUUUAGAUUCUACAUUGCUUCCUGAUCAACGUUGGUUCGUUAGUUUAUCAUUUUGUUGUUGCUUCUCUUGAGCUUCCUACAGUAUACUCAACCAGUCCUAGGAUAUCCGGUGCUCCCUGGAUACUUGCAUGGUUCUCGUAGAAUCCAUGAUGGAUACAUAUCUGAAAUCAGUUACAUGUGAGAUAUUCAGAUGCUCAUCAAAUGCUUUUGCUGCAGUUUGUGAAUCGGUAGAGUUGGAUUCUUCCGGCAACGAGUUUAACAUCACUAUGAUAGUGUUAGAAAAGGCAGGUUUUUGUUAUUUUUCGAGAACAAAAGUCAUUAUUUCUGAAGUCAUUAAGCUAAUUUGAGAGUUUGGUCAAA